UCCGAGGCCGGACGGUAGAGGCCUCCCUUCUGAGGAGGCGGCGUGGCCGCAAGCUGCUAGGGUUGCGCUCUCGGACCCGUGCGUCCUUCCCGACGAGGUCCCUGCGCGGCCCGACCCAGUGGCACGGAUGUUUCCAUGCAGGUGAUUUUGACAGCAAUCAUCAUACCAAGCUAUUAUGAAGUGUGAUGUCAGUGCGUUCUGGAGGACGGAUAAUAUAUAAGCCAGUUCUUGACACGCUAUCUUACAAGGAAACAUCUGAGACCAUCAGCAUAGAAGUAACUAAAAAAUAAAUAUGUGUCUGAGCCCCAGCAAGAUUAUGUGACUUCAUAAAGAUAGUAUGGCUGGCUCAAUGGAAGAGCCAAGGGGUUGUUUGAAGAGGAUUUAUGCAUCCCACAGACACCUGACAAGCUGAUUCUAAGGGCCCUUGGACAGACUUACCCUGUUCACCCAUGCCUCAGAUGUCCUUCCUGCCUUGGGACAUAUACCUGUCUUCGUGACCCACUGUUUUUAUCAACAAGAUAACUACAAAUAAGGUUCCCCAAGUGUACUCUCCCAGUGAACUUCAUAGCUGGCUAAUUCAGAAGAUAGCCCUGGCUGUCUGACCCUCUUAAGCUCCUGCCAUCAAGAAGUAGGGUCCAUUUCCUUGUUCCCGGGCUGGCCAUGCGACUUGCUUUUUUACCAGUACAGUGAAGCGGAAGUGAUAGUGUACCAGUUCCGAAGGCCUUGUGUACUUCUGCCCUGUCUCACUCGAAAUCCCGCCUGGCUACCAGGAGGACAAGCCCAUGUUCACUCCCUGGGUCAGCUGUCUCCAAUCCUGAGGUCAUCACUCAUCAAGAGGGGAUAAUCCCAAGGACAGCAGGACCUGCUUCAUCACUUGGAUUUAGGAGUGAGAAACCCAUCAGGCAACUAAACAGUAACAAUGACCCACCAUUAAACACACUGAGAGAAGUGCAUGAUGAGGAGAUUGUACGAGAAGAAUCCCGGAGCUCUUGCUGACAACGCCUAUGGAGACGCUGACCACUGUGAGCUCUGCCCAUUGAACUGCAGUAAAAAAUCUCCCCCUCCCCAGAGAUGCUUGGAUGCAGGCACAAUAUCAGUUCAGACAAUGGUCUGUGUGUGGACUUAGAGUGGAAAGAAUUUGGACUGUGGGGUAAACAGACCUGGGUCUGAACUGUUAUUCUGCCACUUCCGUGUAGUAUGUUUUAGCAGCAUUAAAAAAA